rnacentral:tRNA from 1 species
UCCCUGGUAGCUCAGAUGGUAGAGAAUCUGCCUGCAAUGUGGAAGACCUGGGUUCGAUUCCUGGGUUGGGAA